rnacentral:lncRNA from 1 species
UCCGCAUCAAUCAAUUCCAAACUUUUUCACUCUGCAACCUUGAAGCUCCGACACCUGAAUCAGUUUCUUAGACUCUAAAUCCCUCGAUGCCAGCGAUAGCACCACCCGCUCCGCUGGGCGGCGGCGGGCCAAGGUCCUGACUAGAGGGCAGAAAGCGUCAGCUGCAACCCGGGACCACAGGAAUCAAGCUGCUUCGCCCAGGGAUGAGAGGGGCAGCCUCGAAGGAUUUUUCAAAUUACAUCUGCAGCCUGUACCACGGAAUUGAGGUUUCUCUUCCCAGAAUGGUGGAACCGGAAGAAAAACGGAGCUAGUGAGCUGGGGAGGGGAUGAGAGCCCCGUCUUAAUUUCUUGCUUCCCUCACAGGUAGGCCUACUCAGUCUAAAAAGCUGAAGAGAAAAACUG